GCGUCGGUAGCUCAGUGGCAGAGCAGUGGAACAGUACUCCUUGUGUCCCAGGUUCGAUCUCUUGUCGACGCU